rnacentral:misc_RNA from 1 species
UCCGGCUUGUCACCGGCAGUUUCUUCAGAGUGCCCGGCCGAACCGCUGGCAACUGGGAGCGAGAGUUGCGCUCGUUGCGGGACUUAACCCAACAUCUCACGACACGAGCUGACGACAGCCAUGCAGCACCUGUGCUGGCUACCCUUGCGGGUUCAUUGCCGUUUCCGGUUUUUAAUACCAGCAUGUCAAACCUGGGUAAGGUUCUUCGCGUUGCGUCGAAUUAAACCACAUGCACCACCGCUUGUGCGGGCCCCCGUCAAUUCCUUUGAGUUUCAACCUUGCGGUCGUACUCCCCAGGCGGGGUACUUCCUGCGUUAGCGCCGGCACCCAGAGGGUCGCUCCCCCAGGCACCUAGUACCCAUCGUUUACGGCGUGGACUAC